rnacentral:rRNA from 1 species
GCUCAACCGGGGAGGGGCACCUGAAACUGGGCAACUUGAGUGCAGGAGAGGGGAGCGGAAUUCCCGGUGUAGCGGUGGAAUGCGUAGAGAUCGGGAGGAACACCAGUGGCGAAGGCGACUCUCUGGUCUGUAACUGACGCUGAGGCGCGAAAGCGUGGGGAGCAAACAGGAUUAGAUACCCUGGUAGUCCACGCCGUAAACGAUGAGUGCUAAGUGUUGGGGGGUUUCCGCCCUUUAGUGCUGCAGCAAACGCAUUAAGCACUCCGCCUGGGGAGUACGGUCGCAAGACUGAAACUCAAAGGAAUUGACGGGGGCCCGCACAAGCGGGGGAGCAUGUGGUUUAAUUCGAAGCAACGCGAAAAACCUUACCAGGUCUUGACAUCCUCUGACAACCCUAGAGAUAGGGCUUCCCCUUCGGGGGCAGAGUGACAGGUGGUGCAUGGUUGUCGUCAGCUCGUGUCGUGAGAUGUUGGGUUAAGUCCCGCAACGAGCGCAACCCUUGAUCUUAGUUGCCAGCAUUCAGUUGGGCACUCUAACGUGACUGCCGGUGACAAACCGGAGGAAGGUGGGGAUGACGUCAAAUCAUCAUGCCCCUUAUGACCUGGGCUACACACGUGCUACAAUGGGCAGAACAAAG